rnacentral:rRNA from 1 species
CCUACGGGAGGCAGCAGUGAGGAAUAUUGGUCAAUGGCCGUAAGGCUGAACCAGCCAAGUCGCGUGAAGGAAGAAGGAUCUAUGGUUUGUAAACUUCUUUUAUAGGGGAAUAAAGGUAUCCACGUGUGGCUAUUUGCAUGUACCCUAUGAAUAAGCAUCGGCUAACUCCGUGCCAGCAGCCGCGGUAAUACGGAGGAUGCGAGCGUUAUCCGGAUUUAUUGGGUUUAAAGGGUGCGUAGGUUGUUUUUUAAGUCAGCGGUGAAAGUUUGUGGCUCAACCAUAAAAUUGCCGUUGAAACUGGAAGACUUGAGUGUGUUUGAGGUAGGCGGAAUGCGUGGUGUAGCGGUGAAAUGCAUAGAUAUCACGCAGAACUCCGAUUGCGAAGGCAGCUUACCGGUGCACAACUGACGCUCAGGCACGAAAGCGUGGGUAUCGAACAGGAUUAGAUACCCCAGUAGUC